CAGAAACACAAUGAAUGGAAGGAUGAGUCAGUGUGCUUCUGGAAGUGUCUUCACAUUUGUUUGUUACCCUAAUCAAUGGAUGUUAGUACAGGAAUGCAACCGCUGCAUUAAAUUAAAGAAAAAAUAAAGGUAGAUAAUAUAAUAUUAAAACAAAGUCGGUACUUACAGAAAGCACAGCUGAAGUCAGCGCCACCAGUUUGCAGGCAGGUGACACCCUUCCCUGGGAGAUCCCCUGGGGGAGCACAUGAGGCCGGUCCUGCUGGCCACUGGGAGGGGCUGCAGGGAGGAGGAGCACCAGCCACACUCCCUUCCCUGCCCUGCCCUUGCAGGGGAAGAGGGAAGCCAAGCCCAGGCUCUGCAUUAGCAAGAGGCAGAGAAAGGCAUAUCCACGGGGACAGCUUCACCCUACCCUUCCGGCUGGGGAGACAUCGCAUUUGGAGGUGACUUCAUCCUGGGAAAUGCUGUACCGCAUGAUAGGGGCCAUUUGCUGGAGGAGCAGGGGGGCUUUCAGACAGCAAAGAGCUCUCUGUUGGUGCCCUCUGCACCUUGGGCACAAAUCGAGAUUGGAUUCCUGGGGAAACUCUUUGGAAUAUAUAAAACAUAACUUACUUUUUAAACCAAUGACAGGUAGUUGUAUCGUUAUCUGACUGGAAAACAGAUGGUACAUUCAAAUUGCGUAUUUGAAAAGGACUUGGGAAAGAGACUAUUGACAGAGAAAUGGGCAGUGUUUGGAGAAUUACUGGGAUUCAGCAGCCAGCGUCUGGCCCUGAAAAGACAGAGGAGAGAGCAGUUUCUAGAACCCGGAGAUACAGACAGAAGAAUGGAGAAGGUGCCUAGCGGGGAGCUGAGAUUCUCAUUCAGGGGUCUCUGCCAGCCUCCAGGAGCGCCAGGAGGGAGCCGGUGGGAUAAAUUCCCCAGCCUCUCUCUUUCCCCUGUUUCCUGCAAGUGUGCUCUGUUGGCCAAACCCAGCGGGAAAGGCAAGAACCAUAAAUGCGGGGCAACCUCCCCAGGCACACAGCAGAGUGGAUGAGUGGGAGGCUCAGCAGAAGGCAUCCAGCAAGAUGAGGUCUUCAGGUUCUCCCAACCCUGGACCAUCUCUUCUCAGAUUCCUUGGUGGAGUUUUCUUCCUCUAAAGAGCUGACGUUCUCAGGACCCCAACCUCCGCCCUUCUUUCACUCUGCAGGUUCUGAUUUUGUCUUAGAUUUUACAUCAACACAAACACCCAGGCAACCCCUAAGUCUGUGUCUCCCACUUAACCCCCUCCUGAGUCAGAAUACCCUACUUUUUUUCUUUUUUUUUUUUUUUAAGAUGGAGUCUCACUCUGUUGUCCAGGCUGGAGAGCAACGGUGCAAUCUUGGCUCACCGCAACCUCUGCCUCCCAGGUUCAAGCGAUUCUCCUGCCUCAGCCUCCAGAGUAGCUGAGAUUACAGGAGCCUGCCACCACGCCUGGCUAAUUUUGUAUUUUUAGUAGAGACAGGAUUUCACCAUGUUAGUCAGGCUGGUCUCGAACUCCUGACCUCAGGUGAUCCACCCUCCUCGGCCUCCCAAAGUGCUGGGAUUACAGGCAUGAGCCACCAUGCCCAGCCAGAACAUCCUAUUUCUAGGGUGUUCCAGGGUGAAUUACCAGUCAGAGUGGUUCAUCCACCUGGAUGUCCCAAAGUCACCGCAUGGACGAUAGUGAGCCUGGAACUUUGCUGCCCCUCCAGCCUCCAACCACCUCAACAAGAAGCUGAAAUUCAUUCCUGUCCCCCGUGCCCCCUUAACCCUCAUCUCGCUGCUGUCAGCUGCAUGUCUUGACACCCCGCCCUGUGCUGGAGUGCCGGCUCCGUUCCACUCAUACUGCCUCUGUUUCCCAGUGACUUUUUUUUUUCCAUUCUCCCUCAGUCAUCCCUUAGCAUGACCACAUGAGACCACUACAGAAGCAGAGAUCUGUUCAUUCCUCCCUCAGGCAGGCCCCCUGCUGUUCAUGAGGCCAUGGACGGGGCACUUCUGGUCACGUUCCCCGAGUUCCCACUUCUGCUAAACACAGCUCAGCCACCAUGUAUGACAAGUUGGGCAAUUCCAUAAAAGUAGC
rnacentral:lncRNA from 10 species